rnacentral:lncRNA from 1 species
UAUAAAUCAAACAACGGGCGCUCGCCCUGAGGCACCGGAAGUGUGCUGGGCGGGGGCGCAUGCGCAGUGAGCCAGCACACGGCCCCAGUCACGUGGUAGGUGCGGCCGGCCCGGGCCAAGGGCAGCGCAUGCGCAAUGACUUCAAUGACUGCGGUGCCGCCUGCUGGUCAAAGGGCGAGGCUGCAGCGACGGGACCUGCGCAUGCGCCGUGCCCGGGGAGCGGGGAACAAUUAACGGGGAACAAUUAGCGGGGAAUGGGGAACGGGAAAUGGGGAGCGGGGAACGGGCCGGCCCGGGGGAGCCCCGCAGGGGAUGGGCCGGGCCGGCGGCACCGAGGGGGAAGGAGCGGCCGCGCCCGUUCCCGGGGCACCCGCCUCUCACGGAGGGGUAAAAUGAACAUUUUGAGGUAAACCCGAGGAAAUUAGUGAGGGACAUUCAGGGGGAAAAUCGAGGUUCCUUGAGCGGGACAGGAAGGGACAGUUCUGGGGUAAAACCUGAGGUGGUCGCGGGAGGUUUAGGGGUCCAACCCGAGUCCCUGUGCCGGGAUCGGAAGGAACGUCUCUGAGGGAAAAGCAGAGGCAAACUGGGAGGGGGAGCAGAGGCGACAUCUUCCACCUGAAAAUGCUGAGGUAAUUUGGAUGAAAUAAAAUCGCCGUUUUUGUGGGGUCAAUCCAGGGGUACCUUAGAGAGGAAAAAGGAGCCUUUGUGAGAGAAAGGCUGGGAAUUCAGACCAGACCGAGGCAGCAUUUUGGACAGAAAACCUGAGGUUAUUUAGCAGGGACAGAAGUGACCCUUUUAGCCGAAAACCUGGGGUAAUUUAGAGGGGCCACAACCACUGUUUUCUGUAGGAAAGUGGGAGGUGAUGCAGAGGGGAGAGAGGUGGUGUUUGGAGGUAAUGGCUGAGACUGACCGCCAGCUGCAGACUGAGCCUGGGGCCUGAAUCCUCUCCAGUCGGCAGGGGCUGUUCCCAAAUGCCAUGCCCUGCUCACAACUUGGUUGUUUCCAGGUGCUCGGAGAGUGAUUCCCCAGGAAGAAGGGGAGCCUUGGCCUCACCUGCCUGGCUCAGUUGGAUGGGACAGAACUGGGGCGGCCUGGCAAGGCAUGAACAGGUUUCUGAGUUCUGGAGUGCCUUGAAACCUUUCUGUGUUCCAGGUCAGUUGCUGCUUGUGAGCCUGAGCCUUGGUUUGGGGGUUCAGGAGCCCGGGGGGCCGAGCUGGGGGGUGUUUGCAGCUCUGCCAGGGCUGGAGCUGACACAGCACUGGGGGAGAGCCUGGAGCUGGGCUGGGCUGUGGGACAGAUGCGGGGGAGCUGGGGGAGGGUUUGGGGCUGCUGGGAGUGUAACAGAUAACAUACAAACGCCAGAAAUUAUGUUUCGCCAUUGUUUCUGCCUGUCAGAAAACUCCCUACCAAAAAUUCUGUGUCAGUUUUCCAACACAAGUCCUCACCAGAAUUUUCCCACUGGAGUUUUCCUGCCAAAGGAUCCUGUUAUUGUUCAUGGUUAUCAUAUCUGCGAACAUCUGGAUAGGGCUACGUGCCAAGAAACCACACACAACCUCCUUUGAACACUAUAAAAGUGGAGGAGAAAUUUGGGAAAAGCAGGGAAAGAGGAGUGGGAGAGAGAGCUGGCUAUAGCAGCUGAGAGUCUCUGCCCCACGUCGCCCUCACCUUUUCUUCUGCCACCGUGAGCUGCCCGCCCCUCAGCAGAGACCAGACCUCUGCCGUCCUGAACUGGACUGAGCCCCCCCGAGCCACCCGCGGGAGUUCCCCGCCCUGACCACAUCGGUGAGGGCCGAGAGCUGGGGCUGGAGCGGGACCUCUGCGCGGGCUGGGAGCGGCAGGGACACAGACCAGGCCCAGCACUGCUGCUCUCUCUGUGCCCCAGCCCACAGAGCAGCUCGGCGCAAGGGAGCUUUGCUGCUAGCUUUUCUCUGCUUCUAAAAGCAAUCGCAGCAUUUCCCAACCUUUUCUGAUUUUUUCCUCUUUGCAUCUCUUAGCAAUUAAUAAAAAGAGUUUUGGUAUCA